rnacentral:rRNA from 1 species
UACGGAGGGUGCAAGCGUUAAUCGGAAUUACUGGGCGUAAAGAGCGCGCAGGCGGUCGUUCAAGUCGCGUGUGAAAGCCCCCGGCUCAACUGGGGAGGGUCACGCGAUACUGAUCGACUCGAAGGCAGGAGAGGGUAGUGGAAUUCCCGGUGUAGUGGUGAAAUGCGUAGAUAUCGGGAGGAACACCAGUGGCGAAGGCGACUACCUGGCCUGUUCUUGACGCUGAGGCGCGAAAGCUAGGGGAGCAAACGGGG